rnacentral:rRNA from 21 species
UUCCGACCUGCACGAAUGGCGUAAUGAUGGCCAGGCUGUCUCCACCCGAGACUCAGUGAAAUUGAACUCGCUGUGAAGAUGCAGUGUACCCGCGGCAAGACGGAAAGACCCCGUGAACCUUUACUAUAGCUUGACACUGAACAUUGAGCCUUGAUGUGUAGGAUAGGUGGGAGGCUUUGAAGCGUGGACGCCAGUCUGCGUGGAGCCAACCUUGAAAUACCACCCUUUAAUGUUUGAUGUUCUAACGUUGGCCCCUAAUCGGGGUUGCGGACAGUGUCUGGUGGGUAGUUUGACUGGGGCGGUCUCCUCCCAAAGAGUAACGGAGGAGCACGAAGGUUAGCUAAUCCUGGUCGGACAUCAGGAGGUUAGUGCAAUGGCAUAAGCUAGCUUGACUGCGAGCGUGACGGCGCGAGCAGGUGCGAAAGCAGGUCAUAGUGAUCCGGUGGUUCUGAAUGGAAGGGCCAUCGCUCAACGGAU